UAUUGAUGACAUUUACUGGUAAAUCUACUCAUUUUAUUCACAGAGAGAUUUGCUAUGCCCGCCAAGAGGGUCAUUUCAAAUUUAAAAGAAAUUAUGCAUUCGAGCAACAAUGAUAGCAGAAUAAGUCAUUUUCUGAAAGGAAAAAAAUACCACGCUCAAGGGUCGAUGGCACUUCAAAUGGACAGACCACAUCAAGUGCAGACUUGGAAUUAAGAAUUAAGCAUCCAGUUAGAUCAUUCUCAUGCAUAUGAAAGCCACAAGUCUUCAGUUUACUCUUUUAAGUAUGAAUUCUUUCUUCAAGAAAGCCAUGUUUCUACAUAAACUAAUUCUAUGUCGUAGCAAAUUUAAAAACAGAAAGCAAACUGAUAUGAAUUGCAUGGUUUAUCAUGAAUGUUCUUUUGCCCUGUGCUAUAGUUUAACUAAAAAAAAUCUUGAAUUUGAUAGUAAACUACGACACAGGACAUGUAACAAUCCAAAUGGAUUCUUAACGCAUAAAAAGUCCAUGAACCAGAUGAACACAAACUAGAUAAUCGUAAAAAAAAACUAAAGUGUCAACCAAAAGUCAUAUACUAUAGAAGAUCUUUUCACAUUCACAUGGUCCUUUAAAUUAAGUAGGCAAUAUCAACUCAUGGAAAUCCCUGUACCUGCACAAUCUCAUAUUGUGAGUAGACAAGUAACAAUGGAAUUGAUUAGUAAAAAAAUCAUUAAAAAGUUUGAGCCAACGCACAUAAAAGAUAUUUACUUACAAUCAUAAACCUCGACAACCAAGAAAAAUUUCUGUAGCUCAUCUGCACUCUUUACAUCAUUCCAUAAAUAAAAACAGAAUAAACACCCGAU
rnacentral:lncRNA from 1 species